GACGAACGCUGGCGGCGUGCCUAAUACAUGCAAGUCGAACGAGAGCGACCGGUGCUUGCACUGGUCAAUCUAGUGGCGAAAGGGUGAGUAAAACGUGGGUAACCUGCCCAUCAGAGGGGGAUAACAUCCGGAAACGGAUGCUAAAACCGCAUAGGUCUUCGAACCGCAUGGUUUGAAGAGGAAAGGAGGCGCAAGCUUCUGCUGGGGGAUGGACCCGCGGUGCAUUAGCUAGUUGGUGAGGUAACGGCUCACCAAGGCGGUGAUGAAUAGCCGACCUGAGAGGGUGAUCGGCCACAUUGGGACUGAGACACGGCCCAAACUCCUACGGGAGGCAGCAGUAGGGAAUCUUCCGCAAUGGACGCAAGUCUGACGGAGCAACGCCGCGUGAGUGAAGAAGGUUUUCGGAUCGUAAAACUCUGUUGUUAGAGAAGAACAAGUGCUAGAGUAACUGUUAGCGCCUUGACGGUAUCUAACCAGAAAGCCACGGCUAACUACGUG
rnacentral:rRNA from 1 species